UCUUAGUGGGAUAUGUGGUUAUAUGAGAUAUAGACACCUAGCCCACUAAGUUCCACUAAUUGUUAGUGAAACAUUAGGUGUUGAGAUUUGGCAAAUGAAUUGCAUGCAUUUUUGCAUGUAAUUAGGUUAUAAAUAGAGGUGUUUUCAAAUGUUAAAGAACUUUUGCCUUUUUUAUCAUUUUCAUCAUCUAAACAAAAGAAAAAAGAAACCUUCCAAUCCCAUUUUAUCUCCAUUACUUUCUACACCAAAAUUGGGUCCCACAACCCGGUUCUUUGUCUAGAGGAUAGCAGUUGAGUACUAGUGGUGGUCUCGGUUAGAAUUGGUAAGAAGAUAUCAAAUCUUUUGAAAGCUUCAAAGGUAAUAUUUCUUAAAACCCUAAUUUGAUUAGUUUAUGGUUACAUGUUAAUUGUGGCAAUUAGGGUAGAACUAAAACUGACUUAGUUCUAUCAAUAUUUUAGUCUUAUGGAAAGGUAUACGAACUAAAACUGGACAGUUCAAAUAUUUGAAUGACUAUAGAAGAAGGUCGUGGAUUAGGACAGUGGUUCGGGUGAUUCUCGUUGGCGUUUCUUAGCUGAAUGCUUCAUCAGAAGAUUUCAAAUCUCUUCCUACUGUUUGAUCGAACCACAGGUAGAGAAACUAACGCGGAUCUAGAUUUUCUUUGGGGAAUUGUCAAAAAUAGGCCGAAAGUUGGGUAGAAAAAGAGUUUUAGGAUUGAUUGUAAAAAAGUUGAGAUUUAGGACAAAUUUGAGAUGAAAUGACGAAAAUACUCUUAUUUAAUUUUACUUCAUAUUUGUUCUUCUCUUCCAACCUCUCUCUCUUCAAUGUAUAGUAAGUAAAGUAAAAAAAACAUUUGCACUUCUUCUCCUCUCUAAAAUGUUUGUCAACUUUUCGCUUUAGUUCGUUGCCGUUCAUCCUCUACUCCGACAAAUAUCUCACACACUGUGGUUUGUUUUUUUUUUUAAUCUGAAUCGUGUUGUGUUAUAUGUAUAUAUUUGCAUCUUAAAUAUAUAAAUCAAAUAUAAUUUUUAAUUGUUUCAAGUUGAUUUAGGGUUGUUUUAGAGAUGUUUCAAAGGAUGUUAGCAAGUUAUUGUUAUUGUUAUUUUAUCUCGCAAACAUCUCGCAGACAUCUCGCAUGUUCUUAAAUUCAAAUGUUUAAUUUGAAAUGAAUUGAUUUAUGGUGACUUUUAACAUUUGAAUUUUAUUUCAUUUCAGAUUAAACAUUUGAAUUUAAGAACCUGCGAGAUGAACUACACUGGAGUAAAGCUGUGAAGUAAAAUUAAAUAAAGGUAUUUUCGUCAUUUCACCCCAAAUUUGUCAUAAAUCUCAACUUUUUUUACAAUCAAUCCUAAAACUUUUUUUCUACCCCAUUUUUGGCCUAUUUUUGGCAAUUCCCCGAAAGAGUUUAUGCAUGUAAACAUUAAAUUUGUAUUUUUAAAAUACAGUAAUAAGAUCCAAAAUAUUUUUUACUCUAACUUUGGGUUUGGUCAAGUUGAGUUGUGUUCACUGUAUGGCAUAUUUGUUGUGUUUGGAGUGUCUUAACUGACUUAUAACUUCACAAGUGGAUUGAUCGUUCAUCAAUAUUUACUUGUUAACUACAUCUUUAUCUUAUUAACACUUGAAAAGUUGAACAAUGAUGUUGCUUGGAGUUCUAACAAACAGACAAUGAUUUGGCGUGGGUGAUUAGAGUUUACUUUGGUCGUGUUUAUAUUGUUGUCUAUAGUUAUAUCCCAAUAUGCAAUGACAUCAAGGUCUCGGCAGCAAAGACUACUUGUGAUGGGUUUCAUAGUAUAACUUUCUUAAAUUAACAUGUCAUGGUUGAAUUGAUGGUUUUCAUAGUAUAACUUUCUUAAAUUAACAUGUCAUGGUUGAAUUUAUUUGUAUACUUUUUUAUAAUUGUUUUUUUAAAUGUUUUAAUGAAUGUUAUAUACUCAAUUUUUUUUAUAUUAUAUAAUCAAACCUUGUUUAAAUUGUAAAAUAAGAAAUUAUAUUAUAUAAUACAAAUUAGUCCGUAUUGAAAAUUAACAUCAAUAGCAUUUGAAUUUAGACUUGGUAAAGUAGGCUAAAGGCCACGAAAAUACAAGGAACAUAAAUUCAAGAAAAAGCAGACUUGGGAACAAAUAAUUACCAAUUUCAACUAAUCAUUCAUCUAAAAAAAAUCCAAACUUAGGUAGGAUAAGAAAGAUCCAUCCUUUACUAAUCACAACAAGAGAAUGUAAACUUUUGGUUGUUUUUCUUAUAAAUAUAUCGUUAUAAUUUCAUACAAGGUAACUCCAACUUCAAUUUAAAAUUUGAUUAUUCAAUGACUUUGACAUCAAAACUCAUUUUUCUUUGUUUUACAAGUAACAAUUCUCUAAACUACAAAUAUACAGUUGUGGUCACAUGAAUGUCAAAUGUGUUUUUCUUUGUUCGAAUCUUAAGAUUAACAAAUACAAAAUGUUUUUAUGUUCGUAAAUGUUAUAUUUUAGUAAACAUUGUUAUUUGUUACUCAACUCAUUUGUUUUAAAUGAUGUCAAUUCAAGUUAAUCAUAUUGCUUUUAUAAAUACUUUGAUCUCGAAAAUAUUAAAGAGAUACUAAAUUCAUAUUAAAAGAACAGAUACAUAUACAACAAAAUUCUAAUAGGUUCUAAGUUUAUUAAAAAGUUAAAAUACAAAAUACAAAAGAGAUACAUAUAUUGUGUGAUUUAAAUUUCAAAUUAAUAAUACACAAAAUUAAGUAGUUUGUUUAUUUAUAAAAAGAACAAAAGAUUAAACUACAGUCGAGAGUCUCGAGACUCAUAACAAGAAACUGGAACCAAAUUACAAGUGCACAUAUCCCUCAUGACAAUGGAAUCAAUUACAAAUUUUUUGUUCUUUCAAGUACCAACGAAGAUCUAUAAAAUAGAAACGAAAUAGGAAUAAACUAUUUUGGACAGUUUCUUAGAUUUGGCUCAUUAUGUUAGGAAUGUUUUUUGAGAUUUAGAAAGAAGCAAAAAUGAUUAGAAACACAAACAACCGAUCUAAUGGUUUUAUUUUUUAUCCAUAAAUUGUUGAACUUCCAUGGGCCAAUUCAACAACUAUUCCAAGAUAUUUCUAUUGUAAUUGUAUUCUAUUAUCUUUUCAUACAAUUAUAUAUAUAUGCAAAGGACAUACACAUAUAAUUCAUAAUGCUUUGUGGCAAGAAUCUAUAAAUAUUGGUAUGGAUGGAGAAACUGAUCCAAAUACCCAAGCUACUAAUCAUAUCAGACCAACACAAAGUACAACAGGGGUAGUGCCUAUACUAAUUAAACUCAGAGCAUCUUUAUGUAUAAACAAAUUAUCGUAGACCUCACUUAUAGUGUUGUAACUCAAACUCAAACAACUCUUGCUAAUAUCCAAUUCACUUCCUCAUCUCAACCUUCACCUUUCAGUCGCUAUGAAAAUUCUUAAUCGAUGUAACGAAAUAUGUCUACCUAUGAUCUAUUUGGUGAUUCAUAGAGCGUUUAGAUAUUUGUCGUCUCGUCGAAAUGAUGAUUGGUGAAUCUCUACAAUGAAGAUGAUAGGACAUGAGAAAGCUUAUCUGAGAGAGGAUGAAAGUUAAGCCUUCUGUGUUGCUGGCUGUUCAACUUGCAGGGGAAGUCCAAUUUGAAGGAAAGCCAAUGGAGGGUGCAGAAGAAGGCAAUGAACGGAUAUUGAUAUCAAUUGGCAAUAGACGAUAUUGAAUGUCGAGCUCUUGACAGACUUUGACAACUUCUUCGACCAAGACGGACCUCCGAGCCCAUCUUUCCCCUGAGUCUUGAUGGUUCAUUCUGUGUGACAACCAAACUGCCAAUUUGACCUUGUUUAAACCAUCUAUAUCUUUGAACACAAUCAUAGGAGCAGGAUACCAAUGUUCUUUGUUGCCUUCAAUGUAACUGCAGAAGAAAAAUAGUCAGCUAUUACGUAUGUCAGGUAACAACAUUGUUCUUUUACAGCUAACAAUUACCUUAUAAUUCUGUGUUUCAUGGCCGUAAUUUUCUCAGCUGGUGUAGCGAUAUGGACAAGGAAUUCAAUUGAUUCGCCCAUGUCAGGACUACGGUAGAAGUUGUGGAUUAAUUUGGUUGCAAGAACACUAUUUGGGAUUAUAACCUUCAAGUUGUCGUAUCUCAAGAAUACAGUAGUCAAAAUGUUCAUUUCCUCUACAACCAUCUACACUUCAGUGGGAUGAUAAUCAGGUCCAAGGUUCAGAAGAAAUUAGAGUUACA
rnacentral:lncRNA from 1 species